rnacentral:rRNA from 1 species
CUCGCCCGGGGACUACGAGCAUAAGCUUAAAACCCAAAGGACUUGGCGGUGCUUUAGAUCCACCUAGAGGAGCCUGUUCUAGAACCGAUAACCCCCGUUCAACCUCACCUUUUCUUGUUUACCCCGCCUAUAUACCGCCGUCGUCAGCCUACCCUGUGAAGAACACAUAGUAAGCAAAAUUGGCAGAGCCCAAAACGUCAGGUCGAGGUGUAGCGUAUGAGAAGGGAAGAAAUGGGCUACAUUCACUGAACCAGUACACACGGACGAUGCUUUGAAACCAAACAUCUGAAGGAGGAUUUAGCAGUAAGGAGGAAAAUAGAGCGUUCCCCUGAAACCGGCCCUGAAGCGCGCACACACCGCCCGUCACUCUCCCCGAGCUUAACACUACCUAUUAAAUAAGACAUAAUAACUGCAAAGGGGAGGCAAGUCGUAACAUGGUAAGUGUACCGGAAGGUGCACUUGGAAAAAU